ACAUGCCUACAACAUAGUGUUAAUGCACCGGAUCCCAUUAGAACUUCGUAGUUAAGCAUGCUUAGGCUAGGGUAGUACUGGGAUGGGUGACCGCCCGGGAAGUCCUAGUGUUUUACAUGCC
rnacentral:rRNA from 1 species